UACGUAGGGCGCAAGCGUUGUCCGGAAUUAUUGGGCGUAAAGAGCUCGUAGGCGGUUUGUCACGGCGGAUGUGAAAGCCCGGGGCUUAACCCCGGGUCUGCAUUCGAUACGGGCAGACUGGAGUGUGGUAGGGGAGAUCGGAAUUCCUGGUGUAGCGGUGAAAUGCGCAGAUAUCAGGAGGAACACCGAUGGCGAAGGCGGAUCUCUGGGCCUUGCCUGACGCUGAGGCGCGAAAGCUAGGGGAGCGAACAGG
rnacentral:rRNA from 1 species